UACGGAGGGUGCGAGCGUUGUCCGGAAUCACUGGGCGUAAAGGGCGCGUAGGCGGCCGUUCAAGUCGGGGGUGAAAGCCUGUGGCUCAACCACAGAAUUGCCUUCGAUACUGUACGGCUCGAGACCGGAAGAGGUGAGUGGAACUGCGAGUGUAGAGGUGAAAUUCGUAGAUAUUCGCAAGAACACCAGUGGCGAAGGCGGCUCACUGGUCCGGUUCUGACGCUGAGGCGCGAAAGCGUGGGGAGCAAACAGG
rnacentral:rRNA from 1 species